CAGCCGCCACGGUAAUACGAAGGGGGCUAGCGUUGCUCGGAAUUACUGGGCGUAAAGGGAGCGUAGGCGGGUCGUUUAGUCAGAGGUGAAAUCCCGGGGCUCAACCUCGGAACUGCCUUUGAUACUGGCGACCUUGAGUAUGGGAGAGGUGAGUGGAACUCCGAGUGUAGAGGUGAAAUUCGUAGAUAUUCGGAAGAACACCAGUGGCGAAGGCGACACACUGGCCCAUUACUGACGCUGAGGCUCGAAAGCGUGGGGAGCAAACAGGAUUAGAUACCCCCGUAGUCCCUGUCUCUUAUAC
rnacentral:rRNA from 1 species